rnacentral:lncRNA from 1 species
AUCCCCUCUUCUUACACACGCACAAAUGCACGCUUCACCAAUUUCAUUUUCUUUUCCAGUAUAUUGAACCUCGAAAUAGGUAUAGUUCUUUCUUUCUAUUGACCUUCUUUUUUGCUUCAUUACUUCUCUUUUGUGUGUAGGGUUUAUCGAUUUUGCAAAUGAGGCAGAUGAGAGGGCCAAGGAAGCGGAUAUUCGGGUCCACGAAUUGGAGGAGCAGAAUAAGUUGCCUGAGGAUUCUCAUCUCUACGAGUACCGAUGCGAGAAACAGAUGGCAAAUUAAUUUCUUCACCAAAUUUUCUUAAUCUUUUUAACACUUAUGUUGUUCACCUCUUAUUGAUUGUAUGAUUAAUUGUGAAAUUACCUCUGUGGGAUUUGGAAAUUUAUUAAAAGCCAUAGGUUUUGUAGGGCUAACUAACCAAAUAAGUGAUUUUGGGUAAAGGGAAAAUAUGAAGAAAGCAAAUUGAUCUUACUGAGCCGUGUAUUAUAUAAUUCCCUUGUUUUUUUUUUCCUUGAGAGACUUGUUAAUUUAGAAAAAUGGAAACUUGGAUGAUGGUAAUACAUCCUGAAAAUCAAAGUUCUUUUCAAUGAUAGAAUAGUGUCACCCACUCAACUUUGGGCUGCAUGAGUUUCUAGGACAUUUUUGGAUAAAGUAUGAACUAAGUGGGCAUGAAAAUGGAAAAUGAAUAUUAGUAAUACUGGAAGGAGAUGAAGAUGAAAAUGGAAAAUGAAUAUUAGUAAUACUGUCUGAACUUUAUGAUCCUCUUCUCUAACAUCAAUCUUUACUGCUGAGGAAUUCUGUUAUUGCUGCCGGCCUAUUCUGAAUAUGUGACUUCUUUCUGUUUUAAAUUUGCUACUUUUAUGUCGUAACUUUGAACUUUGCUUCAGAAUCUUCUCUUCCAGUUAUAUUUUGCGGUUUAUGACUUUCUAGAUUGAUUAACAUAGAAAAUAGAUAAACUAUACAGUUAACAACUGGUUGAGGAUGUAAACGCUUGACAAUGGGAGAAUGUAGUUUCAAAAUCAAAGAAAAUCCUUUGGUAACAAUUUAUAUCUCAUUUGGCCUAAUAGAAGUUUCGUUUGUAGCCAUUUGAAAUCAUAAAUUACUUUGUAUUACAAGUAACGUUUCUUUAAUUUUUCUGUCAUUUUUUAAGUUUCAAGAUUCAUGUAAUGAAUUUUCUGUUUUCAUUGGAACAUGAGGGGAAAUUGUGAUUAAUUCAGAGUUAUGACAUGCGUGUGCAGGCCCAUUCGUUUGUUUACCUCCUGUGGGAAGUCUUGUGGUCUAUUUUCCUCAAGGUCAUAGUGAACAAGUACGUCCUUUCUCUCCUUUCUCUCUAUUUCGAGAAAUAUUGUAAAUUUUCACACGAUAUCUGAUAUGUACUUGUAUAUAUUCUAUUUGUAGGUGGCAGCAUUGAUUCAAAAGGAGGCUGAGAGCAUCCCAAGUUAUCCAAACCUUCCGUCGAAGUUGAUCUCCAUGCUCCAUAAUGUCAAUUUACAUGUAUGAACACUUCCAUAGUGCAACGGAAACUUUUAAACAUUUUUUUCUCCGUGUCGAAAUUUAUUUUCUUCUUGGGUUUUAUACUAGAUAAGUACUUGAUGAUCGUCAAUUUGAUCUACUAUGCAAUAAAUCAAUAUCAAUAAUGAUGUUCAAUUUGAUCUAUCUAUGCAGUAAGUCAACAUCAGCGAUAUUUAUCUUCAAUGGCUUUAGUUGUUAUUUGACUGGAUCAAUCUUAUGUUUCUUUAUCCUCUCCUCAGUAAGUUUUUUCCCCUGCCUUCCUUUUCAUGGUACUUCAAUUUGUGAUUUUUGGCUCUUUAAGAGAGAAUAUGGAUGGGAUCAUUUUACUGUAUUUCAAGAUUUUUAUGGUGAUGAGUUUCUGGUUCAUGCCCCAAUGUUCUCUCUUUUCACAUGUGAAAAAGGAUCUUGUUUUCUUGCUGUCGUUUUUGCUGUCUCACAUCUGCUUGCAGAGUCAACCACUUGAUGGUGGCUGUAUAUGUAGUUGUACAGGCAGCUGUUCCAUCUUUAAUGUUUGUGUUGUUUCCCAUUUCAGCAUCUUGUCAGUUAUUGCUUUGACAUGUAUGAUUCACAAUUUAUGUUUAAUGUGUGUGCACAUUAUAUUGUAUUUUCACAUGCCUAACAAAUGGGGGGGGAAAAAAAAGUGCUAGCAGAUUUUGACAAUACUGUGAGUUAAUUUGUUGUACUUUAUAGUUAGGAGUUGUUUCAAAAAGUUCUCCAUAAAAAGGUUUGUGGAUUUAGAUAAAAGAUGGUGAAAUGUGUCACAUGUGGUUGAAAAGUUGAUAAAAGUUGUGUGUUCCAUGAUAUUAUGGUUAAAAUCAAUUUUUUAGCAACAUUUUUUGCUUUCCUGAACAAGCACUUUGUAGAUAAGCAUUUACUAUCCCCUUACGUAUUAGACUGCAAAUAAUUCUCUUUCUUUCCUUUUCUUUUGUCCCGUCUGUAUUUGUUCCUUUUGGCAUAAUUAUUUUCGUUCAAUCAGUGCAAGCAAUAUGAGAAGGACCUAAUGGACAUGAUCGAUAGAGAAGUGGAUGGAAGUGAUAGUCUUGAGGGGAUUUGUUCUGUGCCAUUCAAUUGCUAGUGGUACAAGCUAAGGUUUCCAAAUCCUAUCACAUUGUGCAAAUUUUCUAUGUAAAUUCCAAAAUAUGAAUGUCUUGAUUCAUAUUUGAUUUUCAUAAGAAUAUGAAACUGGUUUUGUACUGUUCACGGAAGGACAGGUCAACUGCACUGUAGAGGCCCAAUUUAUUCUCUCUGCUUUCACUGUAUAUACUCAAUGUAUCUAUCUCUUCCUUUUCAUUUCUUCCCCCAUUUAGCCAUCCUUGUUGACUAUAUAAUAGUUAUUUGCUUUCCAUGUAGCCACCAUUCUUUCUAGCUACAGUGGUUCUGCAUUGUUCAUUAAAUGAUCGCCCUAACAAAGCGUCAUUUCUUCCAUCUCUAAACCCUCUUUUUUCUUUCCCGAAUUUCAAUCCCCAUUCCCAACACACUUUAAUUCCUCCUACAACGCUAAAAACCCUUCAAUUAAUUUCAUCUCUCCAGGAAUGAGCUGGCUGUACAAGCUUAGAUUUGGUGUUCUUAACUCCACCGACUCCAUGUGGAUUCCUCUUUCGAUUCUUCCAUAGCGCAUGGGACUAGACGAUCAUGUACUCGCUCUGAGCCAUCAGUUCGUGCAAUUCGAAGGAGGUAGAGAAUAUAGUAUUGGCUUCCUCCAUUGCAAUUUAUUGUUGAGUUUUUUUAAAACAGUAUUUAAUCGUAUCCCCAAGAAAAAUUUAUGAAUUUCAGUUCAGAAAUUUGAGAAAAAAUGUGAAGUUUAGGUUUGCUUUCAUCUUAAAUGUCUUAAAAGUUUGUUCUUAUUGGCAAAAAGUUUUAAAUUUCUGCAUUUAUUUAAUUAAGCUUGCUCAUUUUUAUCACCGGCAAAACUAAGAUUUCAGAUUUUGGGUGUGGUGUGGGGCUGAGCAACAUAGGGAAGCAGCAAUGCACAAAGGUCACUCAGAUUAAAAGGCUAAUUGCUAGAAACUGGUGAAUAUAAGCACAAGGAAGAUUUGGAAAUGCUUAUAAAUUUAGAGCUGGGGAAGUUAAAUUAUGUUGAGAACGAGUUCCGGAAUUAUGAAUAUAUUGUAAGAAAAAAUAAUAAAUGAGAUUGUAUAUAAAAUAAAAAGUGGAGCAAUUUGAUUGAAUUAUGCCACUAUGAGUUUUAAUUUUUGAUUUCUUUUAUUUUUUGAUUGUCAAAUUUGUCGACGAAUAAAUGAAACAUAGGAUUGAGUUGAGUAUGACGUGGAGAAAUGUGACUAGAGAGCUUGAAACAUUGACCUCUUGAAAAUUAACUUUUGAGAACGUGAAAACUUCCAACUAGAAAGUAGAAACUGCAUGAUCGGCUGAAUAAUUUGUAAAAAGAAGUGACAAACUGUAAUUUCUCUAUUUUGUGAUUUAUGUUUUCGUGAACAUUAUUGUAGCUAGAUGUUCCUUUAGUUUAUCAUUCACAUAUUGAAAUGAGAUAUUGCACAUGCUAGAAGAAAUAUGUAAUCCUCCUUCUGGUUCUUGGCAAAAUUUGAAGGUGAGUAGAAUUUUCUGAGUACGAACUUUGUUGUUGUUGUUUUUUUUUCUGGCAAUUAUAUUUAUCUUGUGAAAAACUGUUUCAGGAUUACAUGUGAAAAUCUA